GACGAACGCUGGCGGCGUGCUUAACACAUGCAAGUCGAACGGAAAGGCCCUGCUUUUGUGGGGUGCUCGAGUGGCGAACGGGUGAGUAACACGUGAGUAACCUGCCCUUGACUUUGGGAUAACUUCAGGAAACUGGGGCUAAUACCGGAUAGGAGCUCCUGCUGCAUGGUGGGGGUUGGAAAGUUUCGGCGGUUGGGGAUGGACUCGCGGCUUAUCAGCUUGUUGGUGGGGUAGUGGCUUACCAAGGCUUUGACGGGUAGCCGGCCUGAGAGGGUGACCGGCGACAUUGGGACUGAGAUACGGCCCAGACUCCUACGGGAGGCAGCAGGGGGGAAUAUUGCACAAUGGGCGGAAGCCUGAUGCAGAAACGCCGCGUGCGGGAUGACGGCCUUCGGGUUGUAAACCGCUUUCGCCUGUGACGAAGCGUGAGUGACGGUAAUGGGUAAAGAAGCACCGGCUAACUACGUG
rnacentral:rRNA from 1 species